rnacentral:rRNA from 1 species
UCGAGAGGGUUCGGCCCUCGGCUGACGGCUCCGUAACACGUGGAUAAUCUGCCCUUAGGUGGAGGAUAAUCUCGGGAAACUGAGGAUAAUACUCCAUAGAUUUAGGAUGCUGGAAUGCAUCUAAAUUGAAAGCUCCGGCGCCUAAGGAUAAGUCUGCGGACUAUCAGGUUGUAGUCAGGGUAAAGACCUGACCAGCCUACGACGGAUACGGGUUGUGAGAGCAAUAACCCGGAGACGAUAUCUGAGACACGAUAUCGGGCCCUACGGGGCGCAGCAGGCGCGAAAACUUCACACUGUGCGAAAGCGCGAUGAGGGAAUCCCAAGUGUUUGCUCGUUAGAGUAAACUGUUUCUUUGUUUAAAACGCAGAGAGAGUAAGGGCUGGGUAAGACGGGUGCCAGCCGCCGCGGUAAUACCUGCAGCUCAAGUGGUGAUCAUUAUUAUUGGGCCUAAAACGUCCGUAGCCGGUUUAGUAAAUGCCUGGGUAAAUCGUGUAGCUUAACUAUACGACUUCCGGGUAGACUGCUAAACUUGAGACCGGGUGAGGCUAGAGGUACUCCUGGGGUAGAGGUGAAAUUCUGUNAUCCUAGGGGGACCACCAGUGGCGAANGCGUCUAGCUAGAACGGGUCUGACGGUGAGGGACGAAUACC